GGCGCGAUGGCAGAGUGGUUAUGCAGCGGCCUGCAAAGCCGUGUACCCCGGUUCGAUUCCGAGUCGCGCCUCCA
rnacentral:tRNA from 33 species